AUACGGAGGAUCCGAGCGUUAUCCGGAUUUAUUGGGUUUAAAGGGUGCGCAGGCGGCCAUUUAAGUCAGCGGUUAAAUCGAGGGCUCAACCCCAUUCUGCCGUUGAUACUGGGUGGCUUGAUUGCGGUCGAGGUUGGCGGAAUUCGUUGUGUAGCGGUGAAAUGCAUAGAUAUGACGAAGAACACCGAUUGCGUAGGCAGCUGACCAGACCGCAAAUGACGCUCAUGCACGAAAGUGCGGGGAUCGAACAGGAUUAGAUACCCUGGUAGUCCGCACAGUAAACGAUGAAUACUUGUUUUCGGCGAUAUAAUGUCGGAGGCAAAGCGAAAGCGAUAAGUAUUCCACCUGGGGAGUACGCCGGCAACGGUGAAACUCAAAGGAAUUGACGGGG
rnacentral:rRNA from 1 species